AUUACAAAGGCAAACCCGUUGAAAGGCGGAGACGCAAAGCCAAGGGUCUAAGGUCGGAGGGACUAUGACAGCCGGUUGCCGC
rnacentral:ncRNA from 1 species